rnacentral:rRNA from 1 species
UACGUAGGGGGCAAGCGUUGUCCGGAAUCAUUGGGCGUAAAGAGCGUGUAGGCGGCUUGUCGCGUCGGCUGUGAAAACCCGCGGCUCAACUGUGGGCGGGCAGCUGAUACGGGCAGGCUGGAGUUCGGUAGGGGAGACUGGAAUUCCUGGUGUAGCGGUGAAAUGCGCAGAUAUCAGGAGGAACACCGGUGGCGAAGGCGGGUCUCUGGGCCGAUACUGACGCUGAGGAGCGAAAGCGUGGGGAGCGAACAGG